AUGGAAUAAAAGAAAUGUAGGAAUCACAUCUAGGUUUUACUACUGUGUUACCAUUAAUUGCUCGAGUCUUGAUGAACUUUGAAUUCGAUAAGUGCAAUUCUAAUAAGUAUUAUUGACGAUUUGGAAUUCCACUUUUGGAGUUCGAAAGUUGGAGUCAAGUUAUGCUCCUAGAAUACAUGCUCUUUUUUUUUAGUGUCUUAUCAGACAAUUUCACAUAAUUAUUUAUCUAAAUGUUGAUGUUUGAAUAGUUUAUCUAGAAAAUUGCAUAAAAAGCGAUUUUUCUGAUAUGAUCUAGAGAACCAUUUCAUGAGUAUUGAACUUUGUCCCUUCUAAGUACCCCAAAGAACCUUACGCCCAGCCUUCUGCAUUUAGAUUGCGUAGAAUUCUAUGAUCCCCAAUUGUUCCUCGUUCUGGAACUGCUCAGAAUCUAGGUAACCUUGGGAAUGACUUUUGGUAAACGUAACAAGUCCCUCAUGAGAGACUGGUAUCAUACAAAAUAUGGAAACCAAUGUUUCAUUUCCAUUCUUUAACCUCCUUAUCAGAAAGAAAUAGAUCCAGCAUGGCAGACUGGUAGAAAAUUGAAAGUUUCAAGGAUCUAAAGGAAAACCAACUCAUAACUAAGGCUCUCAAUCUUAAUUUCUAAGAGCUAUCAUUUGUGUAAAUUUGUCAUCAGAAGAUUCAUAUUAUGUCCGAAGUAUUCUAGCUAAAGCUAUAGACGAAUGUCCUGACCUCAAGACCAAGGCUGCUGAGUCAAAUAAAGCAGCAAAGAUAGAUUCAAGAUCAAAAUCCAUUGUUGAAAGGAUGCUUGAUAAAACUGGCUCACCCGGGCUACAAAUUAGGUUAAGUUUAGCGCAACAGCACUACGAGAAACACAAGCAUUGUCUACUAUAGGGAAGGCAUAAAUCAGUUCCUGUGUGAUAGUCUAACAAGCGCUAAUGCUGAGCUCUUGACAGUUUAUGGAACAGAAGAAGCAACUGAUACACUGAUUGAGCAGAUAACUUGGAAUCAAGACCCCAUACUACGUUAUGGAUAAAUGUAUGCAUUUGCAUUGGCUUACAGUAGAACUGCAAACAACAAGGCCAUUUGACAGCUGCUGCAUUUUGCUGCAUCAGAAUUGAGUGACAAUGUUAGGCACACUGCAGUUUUGGCACUGGGUUAGUUUCUCUUACGUUCAGACUCCUCAAAUCGUCUCCCUGCUCUCUGAAUCAUAUAAUCCACAUGUUCAUCAUAGUCCAGUUCUUAUGUUUGGCAUAUCAUGUGCUGGUACUGGUCUGAGCGAGGCCAUAUCAUUGCUGGAGCCUUUGACAUCAGAUGUGCCAGCGAUUCCCCUGUUGAUGCAUUCAGAUUCAUGGUGCUGCAGAAAGGAAAUCAGAACUGGAGCUCUUUGAAUGGACUAAGCAUUUUGAGCUCAUGUGUAACACAUAGUUCACGACACAAGCCUGAACUAGCGUGUCAGUUAUUGCUUUUUUUUUUUUUUUUAUAGCAGCAUGGACGUUAUUCUUUUACUUUUAUGACAGGAAACUCAUUCUAUUGAUUUUUGCUCACACUUAAUAUCAGAGCCUAAAACAUCAUGCAGUGAAAGCAAUUGCUCAUGCUCAUUCAUUGUAAGACACUUAUUGCGCUUAUAGAUUGUGUAUACAACUUCCGCAUUGCUAUUAUUAUCUGUUUCUUAUUUUCGCUUC